AACUUUCGCAAGCACGCACGCACGUCUCCCCUUCCCAACUCCCAAAUCGAUGUUAUCAAAAAAAAAACUCCCAAAUCGCUCCCCUCCCGAUCCCAUCUCUCUACAGGAAAAGUCGCCGCCGCGACCAGUGCGAUCCGACGCCACCCUUCUCCACCACCGCACUCUUGCCGUGAUGCGGCCUCAACCUGCGACGCCGCUCGCCGGGGCACCACGGACCGCGGUUUCCAUCGGCGAGCGCCGGCCGUGGUCUCCACUCCACGUGAUGCCGCCGUCCUGCUGUCAAUGACAUAUUAAGGGAUCCUUCUCUUCACACGUCGUUGGACCAUCCCCGAUGCGUACUGCCUAUUUCCCUGCGAUGUGGCCGUCCCAUGGUCUCCAUCGGCGUCCAGACAACUGCGGACUUCCCACGUGUCGCUGCCUCACCCCCAGAUCCGGCCGCCGUUUCACGUCCAGAUCCGGCCGCCGUCGAGCCUGGUUCCAUCCUUCUACCUCCGUGGAGGACGACGAGAAGCGGAUGGCAGAUGAGUGUCCCGGCUAAGGGAUCAGGCCCUCCCUCCUUGCUCGGCGCGCGCAACUAACAAGGUCAGCUCUUCCCCUGAUUGGUUCCCUCCCAACUCUCAUAUCGUCGCUAGAUGCAUGGCUUCCCGAUUCCCGGCCAGAUUCACACCCUUUGGCGAUGGUGCGCGAUGCAUGAGGCACGCACGCAGCAGUUGGAGAAGAACGACCGUAGCUUAGAGCUUCUUGUGCUGUUGUGUCUUUAGUGUAGGUCAGUUACUCCACGACAUGUAGCACGAGAGAGGAGCAAGUAAGCAGGAUGCAGCCAUGAAGCAAGCCGAUGGGAGGAAGGGGAAUGACCCCCAUUAUGGAUUUCUCAAUUAUGCAAGAUGGUGGUGUGGGGUCACAUAGAAAAUUAGGCGAUAAGAACAAAUUUGCUCUUUGGUUAAACAAGAUUAUAGUAUAUAUGUUAAAAUGGUGAUACUCGUAUGACUUCAUCAUAGGAGCUUCGACCGACUUUUGGAGCUACUA